AUGUCGUCUUCCUCUUCCUCCGGUGCCUCCCAGGAUGGCCCCAACGGCCAAGUCACGGAAAGGCUCUCCUGCAUCAACUACGUCCUCUGGCACGCGCAGAUCGUGCCGCAACUGAGGGGCGCGGGUGUCUUCGGCUAUGUCGACGACACGACACCGGAGCCGGCCAGGAUCCUCCACACCAAGGACAAAGAUGGGAAGGAAUCCACUGAGCCGAAUCCCCUCCACUCCAUCUGGGUGCGAGAGGACCAGCAGGUGCUCGGGUACCUGCUGAACAACCUCACCAAGGAGGUGCUCGUGCAGGUGACCGCGAUCACCACGACGUGCGAGCUCUGGGUGGCGCUGUCGGGGAUGUUCUCCUCGCAGUCGCUCAGUCGCGUAAACAACAUCAGAACCUCUCUGGUGAACGCCCAGAAGGGCAACAAGACCGUCACCACCUACUUUGCCGAGAUGCGCGGCUUCGCCGACGAGCUGGCCGCCGCCGGAAAACCUCUCCAGGAUGAUGAACUCAUCUCCUACAUCCUGCACGGCCUCGACAUGGACUACCAGCCACUCGUCUCCGCCCUCGACACCCGCAUCACCCCGGUAUCCCUCGAUGAGCUUUUUUCAAUGCUUAGCAACUUUGAUCA
rnacentral:rRNA from 1 species